rnacentral:rRNA from 1 species
UACGGGGGGGGCAAGCGUUGUUCGGAAUUACUGGGCGUAAAGGGCUCGUAGGCGGCCAACUAAGUCAGACGUGAAAUCCCUCGGCUUAACCGGGGAACUGCGUCUGAUACUGGAUGGCUUGAGUUCGGGAGAGGGAUGCGGAAUUCCAGGUGUAGCGGUGAAAUGCGUAGAUAUCGAGAGGAACACCGGUGGCGAAGGCGGCCUUCUGGACAGUGACUGACGCUGAGACGCGAAAGCGUGGGGAGCAAACAGG